rnacentral:rRNA from 1 species
CCGUUGUACACACUGCCCGUCACGCCAUGAAAGCUGUUUGUACCCGAAAUUAUCUUAGCCAACCCGUAAGGGGGCGGAUACCUAAGGUAUGGAGAGUGAUUGGGGCG